rnacentral:rRNA from 1 species
GAUGAACGCUGGCGGCGUGCCUAAUACAUGCAAGUCGAGCGAACAGACGAGGAGCUUGCUCCUCUGACGUUAGCGGCGGACGGGUGAGUAACACGUGGAUAACCUACCUAUAAGACUGGGAUAACUUCGGGAAACCGGAGCUAAUACCGGAUAAUAUAUUGAACCGCAUGGUUCAAUAGUGAAAGACGGUUUUGCUGUCACUUAUAGAUGGAUCCGCGCCGCAUUAGCUAGUUGGUAAGGUAACGGCUUACCAAGGCAACGAUGCGUAGCCGACCUGAGAGGGUGAUCGGCCACACUGGAACUGAGACACGGUCCAGACUCCUACGGGAGGCAGCAGUAGGGAAUCUUGCGCAAUGGGCGAAAGCUUGACGGAGCAACGCCGCGUGAGUGAUGAAGGUCUUCGGAUCGUAAAAAUCUGUUAUUAGGGAAGAACAAAUGUGUAAGUAACUAUGCACGUCUUGACGGUACCUAAUCAGAAAGCCACGGCUAACUACGUG